rnacentral:rRNA from 1 species
CCUACGGGUGGCAGCAGUGAGGAAUAUUGGUCAAUGGACGAGAGUCUGAACCAGCCAAGUAGCGUGAAGGAUGACUGCCCUAUGGGUUGUAAACUUCUUUUAUAUGGGAAUAAAACGUUCCACGUGUGGGAUUUUGUAUGUACCAUAUGAAUAAGGAUCGGCUAACUCCGUGCCAGCAGCCGCGGUAAUACGGAGGAUCCGAGCGUUAUCCGGAUUUAUUGGGUUUAAAUGGAGCGUAGGUGGAUUGUUAAGUCAGUUGUGAAAGUUUGCGGCUCAACCGUAAAAUUGCAGUUGAAACUGGCAGUCGUGAGUACAGUAGAGGUGGGCGGAAUUCGUGGUGUAGCGGUGAAAUGCUUAGAUAUCACGAAGAACUCCGAUUGCGAAGGCAGCUCACUGGACUGCAACUGACACUGAGGCUCGAAAGUGUGGGUAUCAAACAGGAUUAGAUACCCCAGUAGUC